CGAAGGACCCGAGCGUUAUCCGGAUUCAUUGGGUUUAAAGGGUGCGUAGGCGGAUUGAUAAGUCAGUGGUGAAAGCCCAUCGCUUAACGAUGGAACUGCCAUUGAUACUGUCGAUCUUGAGUACAUUUGAAGUGGGCGGAAUGUGUCAUGUAGCGGUGAAAUGCUUAGAUAUGACACAGAACACCGAUUGCGAAGGCAGCUCACUAAACUGUAACUGACGCUGAGGCACGAAAGCGUGGGGAUCAAACAGGAUUAGAUACCCUGGUAGUCCACGCCUUAAACGUUGAUAACUCGAUGUUGGCGAUACACUGUCAGCGUCCAAGCGAAAGCGUUAAGUUAUCCACCUGGGGAGUACGGUCGCAAGGCUG
rnacentral:rRNA from 1 species